rnacentral:rRNA from 1 species
UUAUCGGAGAGUUUGAUCCUGGCUCAGGACGAACGCUGGCGGCGUGCCUAAUACAUGCAAGUCGAGCGGACAGAUGGGAGCUUGCUCCCUGAUGUUAGCGGCGGACGGGUGAGUAACACGUGGGUAACCUGCCUGUAAGACUGGGAUAACUCCGGGAAACCGGGGCUAAUACCGGAUGCUUGUUUGAACCGCAUGGUUCAAACAUAAAAGGUGGCUUCGGCUACCACUUACAGAUGGACCCGCGGCGCAUUAGCUAGUUGGUGAGGUAACGGCUCACCAAGGCGACGAUGCGUAGCCGACCUGAGAGGGUGAUCGGCCACACUGGGACUGAGACACGGCCCAGACUCCUACGGGAGGCAGCAGUAGGGAAUCUUCCGCAAUGGACGAAAGUCUGACGGAGCAACGCCGCGUGAGUGAUGAAGGUUUUCGGAUCGUAAAGCUCUGUUGUUAGGGAAGAACAAGUGCCGUUCAAAUAGGGCGGCACCUUGACGGUACCUAACCAGAAAGCCACGGCUAACUACGUGCCAGCAGCCGCGGUAAUACGUAGGUGGCAAGCGUUGUCCGGAAUUAUUGGGCGUAAAGGGCUCGCAGGCGGUGUCUUAAGUCUGAUGUGAAAGCCCACGGCUCAAGCGGGGAGG